rnacentral:lncRNA from 1 species
AAUUACAGCUAAACAAAGAUAUACAGACAGUUUCUGAAGAACAAUACAAGGUGGAACACACGGUUUAAGGGUCCGCGAAUACUAAUCCACUAACGUUAAACCACAAAUGAGAAUCCUUGAGGUUUUGACUGUGAUAUCAAAAGAAACAAGAUAAAUUGGAGAUAUUAAUACGUUUAACCCCCUGUUACUUUCCUGGCGUGUUUAUCUACACGUGGGUACAUGAAAAACGGAGAGCAACACCAAGGACUGAAGAGUAAUUUUCCAUAUAAUUAAAGCAAAAUCUAUUUUUUCGUGGAUGCCUAAUAACUCCGGGUAAUGUCAGGUACUAUUGUUUGUGUUAAAAAAUAUAUUUUUCACAAAGAAUAUGUAUGUUUCUAGCCUUCAAAUUGAAAAUUCCGAGUUUAACACUGGUUUCAGUCCAAAAUUCCAGAGGUAAGUUUCCAUGCUUGAAAAUUUCUGUAAUUUUGUAACCCCUGUAUGCAUUAACUUCACCAGUAUCAAUACACGUCACAAGUAAUUUUUUUUUGGAGGAGUAGCAUUGGGUUUUUUGGAAAAAAAAACCCAAUAAGAGAUCGUUGUACAGUGUGCCUAGUUUGAUACGAAGGUUAACUAUCUACAUUAAUUCUCAGCCAUCCAAGAUAUAAGGCAUAUUUUUAAGUAGUCUAGUAGGCAAGGAGUGUACAAUUGUACUAGUAGUAAAAAACUACAUAGCCCCAGGACGUUGGGCUAGUGAUUUUUCGAGCCAUGUAGUGUAGAUAUAGAUAUUCUUUACGCAAUUAUUUGUUUACAAGAUAAAUAUACUGAAUUUACUGAUAAAUAGAACCUACAAUAAUUAAUAAAAAUUUCGAUUUUA